UCUAGGCAGGUAGCUCAGCUGGUUAGAGUGUGGUGCUGAUAAUGCCAAGGUCACAGGUUCUAUUCUGUGUAUAGAA